CGAGCACAGCCACUCUUUUGAUUGAGAUUUGGAUUUGAAUAAUGAAAGUAGGAACCAUUUUGCACUCCAAAUCAUUCAAUUUUUUUCUUGGCAAUCUAGCAAGCAUACCGCUGAGCUUUCAUCAGAAAUCAUCAAUAAUCUGUCUCUGUUUUUCUCAAUCCUUUGUUUCUCCAAGAGAUCAAAGGUUAGAGAUGCAGCAUAUGCAGCUGCGGUUUCGCUUAUGAAUACCACGAAGCAGAUCAUGGAUCAUCCUCACCUUGCGACCUCAUUCGACCCCAAACAGAUGGAAUCGCUUCGUGAUACAGUUGAUUCCCUGCUUGAUUUCAUGGAGAGUUGCACUUCUCACGGAGGUACCAACGAAGCACGAGAUUUGGAGUCCCAAAUUGCAUCCGCAGCUGAAGAUGUAAUUGAAUCUCAUGUUGUUGAUCAGAUCCACGCCGGAUUCGACCAAACUAGUUUGAAUUUGCCACUGAAUCUGCAGAAAGUGAUAGAUGAGAUGGAUUCUGUGAAGUUGAAGGCUGAAAAGGAAUGGUCGAUUUUGAGGAAUAUGCAGCCAACAUACCCUAAAUCAACUAAACCUCUUACCGCUCCAAAGAUGGAUAUGGUGGGAAAUGAUGAGGAGUUGCUUCAGCUCUUGGAUGUGCUCACCGGACAUGACUCGAGCCGCCAUAUCAUCUGCAUUGUUGGGAUGGGGGGCAUAGGUAAAACCACUCUGACUAGAAAUGCUUUUGAAAAUCGUCUUAUUAUUCAGCAUUUUGACAUUUGUGGUUGGGUUACAAUCUCUCAGAGCUUGUUAGAGAGCUUUUGUUAGAACUUAUUUCAUGCCUAGGGAACACAACAACCUUAGAUGCAUCUGAUAUUGCUAGUGAAAUUGAUCAAGAACCCGAAGAUCAAUUAGGAAUCAUAUUACACAAGUGUUUGUGUUUUGGAUGAUAUCUGGAGUGUCGAGUCUUGUGACAAGUUGAAGUUUUUCUUUCCUGAUUAUGGUAAUGGAAGUCGGAUUGUUGUGACUACUAGGUUAUCAAAUGUGGCCUCUUUCUUUAGUUCAUCGAGUCUUAGGAUGAAUUUUCUAGAUAGGGAUAAGAGUUGGGAUCUAUUGCGUAAAACUACAUUUCCUCAAGAAGAUUGCCCCCUUGAACUAGAAGAUAUCGGAAAGAAGAUUGCGGAAAAAUGCAAAGGACUUCCUUUGUCAAUCGCUGUGAUCGGGGGGUUUCUUGCAAAAUCCAGUAGGGCGAAAGAGUACUGAGAGAAUGUCGUAAGAGACAUAAACUCAAUUUUGAAGUCAGAUGACGAUGAAGAUCAUUGCUUGGAUUUACUAUCUUUGAGUUAUACUCACUUGCCGGUCCAUCUAAAACCAUGUUUUCUUUAUAUGGGAAUUUUAGAAGAAGAUGAACGGAUUGAUGUAUCUCAAAUCAUCAAACUUUUUGUAGCUGAAGGUUUUUUGAGACCAAACAAAAUCCAAAGCUUAGAAGAGACUGCACAUGAUUACAUAAAAGAUUUCAUUGACAGAAAUCUCAUCCUAGUUUCAAAAUGGGGAUGGAAUGGAACAGCUAAAGUGUGUUACAUUCAUGAUCUUUUAAGAGACAUAUGCUUAAGGGUAGCUGAGAAAGAAGAGUUCCUGCGUUUUAGGAGUUUGCAUGAUGGUCUGCGAGGUAUCGAUGUGGAAUGUGCUAGUCUCAUUGUCUUUCCAAGAGCGAUAUCAAAGUACCCUCGAGAGUUUGAUGCUUUACCAUCAUCAGCACUUGUGCGUUCAUUGAUAAACGAUGGUUACCCACUGCCUCACAAAUUUCGUUUGUUGAGGGUGUUGACUAUAGUUGAAAGGGUGGAAACUAUUUUUCAGCAAGUUAACUCGUUGAGGGUGUUGACUACAGUUGAAAGGGAUCCAGCGGAAACUGUUUUUCAGCAAGUUAACUUACGGUACCUUCUUUACGAACCUUAUGAAGACUCAGGAGCCUUGCUUCCUUCAUCAGCAUCCCGACUGUGAAUAUGCAAACAUUGAUCAUUAAAGGAGGAACUGGGCGAAUAGCAGCACCACCUGAAAUUUGGUACAUGAGACAACUCAGACAUCUUGAGUUCAACAAACUUUUUAUUCCUGAUCCUACAACAAUGAACCAGCAAGAAGACUGUAUUCUACAAAACCUACAAACGCUCGUGAAUGUUGUGAACUUUUGCUUCAGUGAGGAUGUUUGCAAAAGAAUCCCCAAUAUCAAGAAACUGCAUAUAAGCUAUGAUGAUUUCUCAGAAGAGUGUCUCAGAAUUGAUAUUGGCUCCCUAAAUAAGCUCCAAUCAUUGAAAUGCUCUUUUGACGAACAGAUGGGAGAUCUGGCCCUGGAACUUAUGUUUCCAAGUUCACUCCACAAGUUGUCUUUAAGUGGUUGUUGUCUUCAUUUCGACAAUGUGACAAAUGUUGGGUUGAUGUCGCCGCAGCUUCAAGUUCUGAAUCUACACUCAGUCACAGGACCAGAGUGGAACCUUGUGGAUGGAGCAUUUCCUCGUCUCAAUUACCUAAGCAUUUCCAAGAGUGAUUUGAUCUACUGGACUGCUGACGAAUCUCAUUUCCCAGUCUUGGAGAAGCUUUCCCUUCGCUACAUGUUUGUAUUGAAAGAGAUCCCUUUGGGUUUUGGAGAAAUCCCAACGCUUGGAUCUCUUAGUUUGUGGAGCUGUAAUGAAUCUGUUGCAAUUUCAUCUACCAAAAUUUUGGAGGAUCAGCUGAGUCUGGGAAAUGAGGAGAUUAAAAUUCAAAUAGACUUCCGGGAUAAGGUGGAAUUAAAUAGCUUCAUGGAAAAGGUGGAUACAACGCGCUUCCUAAAAUAUAAUUUUGAUUGUUCUGGUAGUCGAGUCGAAGAAAUGGAAAAAAUUCGUGAAAAGAUUCACAUUGCAGUAGUUACAAUACAUGCAAUGAGAAAAUUUUUAGUGAGGAGGUACACAAGACAAGAGAUAAAUAGAUCCAUCAUCGACUUUGGCAUGUGAUCUGAUACCAAAUUAGAAAUGAGUGACUCAUCCCUCCUUACAAGGCCUCAUUCUCAUUUCUAUAGUUGUCAAGUACAGUAUACAAAAGUAGACAUGUACAUGUAAAUUGGCGCGCUAGCCAUCAUUGUGAAUUCGUCUGCACCCCAGUUGGAUAUCCAGUUAUCCACCCAUGGCUGCUGAAGAUGAUGCUGACAUCAGAAGGUAUGCGAGAAUCUGAUACACAAAAAUUACUUUGCCUUGAGAUUUGUUCAAUAUUACACCGAGAUUAGGAAUCUAAACUACACGGAAUCAAUGUAUACAUUCUUAUUACAAUGGCAUAUCCACAUAUUUAUACAUAAUUAACUUGUUAUAGAUUUGUUGUUGCUUUCCAAAUAAAACCAAAUGCAGAGAGCCUAUAAGAACUUAAGUAAGAACCCUUAAUCUGAGUGUUAGGGAAAGUACCUUUAAACAGGGCUAAAAUACAAGUAAACUAAAGAUUGAAUUUUAUUAGACCCCCUUGUUUCUUGUAGAUAAAACAGUGCUUAUAGUAUUGAAUUUUACAACUGAGAUUAAAGCAAAAUCAGAUGAGAUACAGCAUCUCGGUGGACGCCCAAGACGCCUUGAUGGGCGAUACGGGUGGGCACCCGAACCCAGAUCGGGAGGGAGCGGCAGCUCUCCUCCUACUCCUACUCCUACUCCUCCUACUCGUGGUACUCGCACCCCGUACACUCCGGAUGAGAUGAUGCAGAUGUUCAAAGCCUACUUGGCAGUCUCCGAAGAUCCGGACGUUGGCACGAACCAAAUCGGGGAAACGUAUUGGUGGCGCAUCACUCGUCUUCACAAUGAAACCCGGCCGGGGGGAACCAUCUAUCGCAAUGAUAGUAUGGUGCACAAUUGCAUCUUCAGAGCCAACGAGGCAAUCGGUAAGUUCCAGGGGUAUUACCAACAGGAAGAGCGGGCGGCGGGGAGCGGCAAGAGCGAGCUCGACAUCAUCAGUGCCGCCUUGGCGACCUACCAAAGCUUGGAGUUGAAACCGUUCAAGUACCUAAGUUGUUGGCAGGAGGGGCGCCAACAUCCGAAGUAUAAGGGUGGCAUAGUAGUACCCUCCUCCAGCUCCUCCAGCAAACGGUCGAGGUCGGUAGCCCUAUCCGACGGCGUCUCCGAUGAUGUGGCUACCCAGCUUGCCGGAACUAACUUGGGUAGCCCUGACGCUGGCCCGAGCAUUUCCCACCGGCCGCAAGGAAGGAGGCGACGGCCAACCGCCGUCGCGGGCCGACUCCAUCCGCCCCCGCUCCCGCUCUCGCUCCCUUUGUGCCACCUCAAUCCCCGACCAACUCGUUGUGGACCCUCUUGAGUCAACUCAAUAUGGCCGAUAGGUCUAACAUGACUCCCGACCAACUUGCAACACAUGCAUGUGGCAACAAUACGGGGUCUCCGAAGAACAUUGGAGAUAGAGGACUAGUCUUCCACGGGGGUAUUUUUUAGUUUUUAAUUAUGUAAUUUUUAAUUAGUAAGAUUUUAAUUAUGUAUUUUUUUAUU